rnacentral:rRNA from 1 species
CCUACGGGAGGCAGCAGUGGGGAAUAUUGGACAAUGGGCGCAAGCCUGAUCCAGCAAUGCCGCGUGUGUGAAGAAGGCCUUCGGGUUGUAAAGCACUUUUAUCAGGAGCGAAAUACUACCGGUUAAUAACCGGUGGGGCUGACGGCACCUGAGGAAUAAGCACCGGCUAACUUCGUGCCAGCAGCCGCGGUAAU